GGGUCCAUAGCUCAGUUGGUAGAGCACCUGACUUUUAAUCAGGGUGUCGAAGGUUCGAAUCCUUCUGGACCCA
rnacentral:tRNA from 1 species